AGAAGAUCCGCCAAGCUUCUCAGCAUUCCAGGUCGAUGCAACACCAUGAAAAUGAAGCUAGGACCUAAAAGAAUGGGAAGAAACAAGUACUACCUCCCACCAUUUCUCGCCCUCUCCGAGAGCUUCAGAACUUUUAUAUACCUCGUCCGGGACAUCUCUGGAAUCCAAAUGGGAUUAGGAAGCGAUCGGUCAUCGCAGACGGAACAAAAUAAUGAACCGGAACUAGUCAGGGUUUGGGGAACUUGCCUUAGAGAGCGAU
rnacentral:lncRNA from 1 species